CAGUCGCCGCGGUAAUACGUAGGUGGCAAGCGUUGUCCGGAAUUAUUGGGCGUAAAGGGCUCGCGGGCGGUUUCUUAAGUCUGAUGUGAAAGCCCCCGGCUCAACCGGGGAGGGUCAUUGGAAACUGGGAAACUUGAGUGCAGAAGAGGAGAGUGGAAUUCCACGUGUAGCGGUGAAAUGCGUAGAGAUGUGGAGGAACACCAGUGGCGAAGGCGACUCUCUGGUCUGUAACUGACGCUGAGGAGCGAAAGCGUGGGGAGCGAACAGGAUUAGAGACCCCCGUAGUCCCUGUCUCUUAUAC
rnacentral:rRNA from 1 species